rnacentral:lncRNA from 1 species
CCCCUCUUCCUUGACUGCCAGAUCCUCGCCUCUUCCCGAGCAGCCGGCUGUCGCGCCGUUCUUCUUCGUCUCCAGCCAAGACGGGAGCACCGACGAGUGCUUGAGUUGUCGAGAUGUUCUGCUGCUGUGCACGGCGGUCUACUACGCCGUCACACCUCGGCCCGUGCGUGCUUGCUUCCGCCUCUUCCUUCUUGCUUGAGCACGGGCGGGGCCAGGGCCUCCCGGCGGGCUCGGCGAGCACGGACG